UGUCCAGACUCCUACGGGAGGCAGCAGUGGGGAAUAUUGCACAAUGGGGGAAACCCUGAUGCAGCGACGCCGCGUGAGUGAAGAAGUAUUUCGGUCUGUAAAGCUCUAUCAGCAGGGAAGAUAAUGACGGUACCUGACUAAGAAGCCCCGGCUAACUACGUGCCAGCAGCCGCGGUAAUACGUAGGGGGCAAGCGUUAUCCGGAUUUACUGGGUGUAAAGGGUGCGUAGGUGGCAUGGCAAGUCAGAAGUGAAAGCCCGGGGCUCAACCACGGGACUGCUUUUGGAACUACAUGGCUUGAUUGCAGGAGAGGCAAGUGGAAUUCCUAGUGUAGCGGUGAAAUGCGUAGAUAUUAGGAGGAACACCAGUGGCGAAGGCGGCUUGCUGGACUGUAAAUGACGCUGAGGCUCGAAAGCGUGGGGAGCAAACAGGAUUAGAUACCCCCGUAA
rnacentral:rRNA from 1 species